UGGCGUAGUGAUCACUGCGCUCGCCUUGCACGCGGGAGACCCGGGUUCGAUUCCCGG
rfam:Asian citrus Psyllid, Diaphorina citri - Florida Strain, whole genome shotgun sequence.